GCUUGGCAAAGUAGCGAACGCCGGUUAAAGCCGGCGUUCGCUUUUCAAUU
rnacentral:sRNA from 1 species